rnacentral:rRNA from 1 species
UACGAAGGGGGCGAGCGUUGUUCGGAAUUACUGGGCGUAAAGGGCGCGUAGGCGGCGACUCUAGUCAGAUGUGAAAGUCCUGGGCUUAACCUGGGGACUGCAUUUGAUACUGGGUUGCUUGAAUUCGGGAGAGGAUAGCGGAAUUCCCAGUGUAGAGGUGAAAUUCGUAGAUAUUGGGAAGAACACCGGUGGCGAAGGCGGCUAUCUGGACCGACAUUGACGCUGAGGCACGAAAGCGUGGGGAGCAAACAGG